rnacentral:rRNA from 1 species
UACAGAGGUGGCAAGCGUUGUUCGGAAUUACUGGGCGUAAAGGGCGCGUAGGCGACUUGGUCAGUCCCGUGUGAAAUCCCUCGGCUCAACUGAGGAACUGCACGGGAAACUGCCUGGCUUGAGUUCGGGAGAGGGAAGCGGAAUUCCGGGUGUAGCGGUGAAAUGCGUAGAUAUCCGGAGGAACACCGGUGGCGAAGGCGGCUUCCUGGACCGACACUGACGCUGAGGCGCGAAAGCUAGGGGAGCAAACGGG